rfam:Schizopora paradoxa strain KTC8140 unplaced genomic scaffold SCHPAscaffold_00495, whole genome shotgun sequence.
GCCCGCCUAGCUCAAUCGGAUAGAGCGUCAGACUCUUACGGUUCUGAAAUCAGGCGAUCUGAAGGCUGCGAGUUCGACCCUCGCGGUGGGCU